GAUGCUAACAAGGUGGGAGCGAGGGCUGUCCUCAUGCAGACUAACGAACAUGGUGUUGACUGUCCGUUCAUUUUGGUGUCAUCUCCUCUUAAUCUGCUUCCUAUGUACCAUGGUUGCUGAGUUGGUGCCCUCGCUGGACAGGGUGUGAGGUGUCCUGCAGAAGUAGAUGGAGCUGGGAGGGUCGUCUACCUGUACCUGCCUUUCUGGGCGGAGCUUCCAGAAUAUAUAUAAGGACUGCCUUGAGGGAUAUGUCUCUCUCUCCCCUUGGCC